CUACCCCUGCUCUCCUACGUCCCCUGUUAUAUGAAACCCUAUAACCCUUCCGUUUCUCCCUUCAGGAUGCCUGAAUUAAAACGUCGGAACUUCAAAUUAAAGCACACUCGCUUCAUCUUCCCUUAGCCCACCGUUUCCUUCUCUUCCCCUCACCCCUCCAGACCAUACAAAUCCCAUAACAAACCAGAACCCUAGCAAAUUCAAUUCAUCUCUCAAUCUCACUUCUCUCUCUCGAGAUCUGGAACCCUAGCUUCCUCCAUCGCCCUCCAAUCGGACGACAAAGAACCGGAGAUGAAAAAAAAAUGACGAUCAAAUCGAAGGUGAACACCAAUUUCUGAGAAACCCGAACGGAUUUGCAGAUGGUAUUCGGAACUGUGUUCUCUUUAGUAAAAACUAAUUACCCAAAAUACCCCUAUAAAUCCCAAUGCUUUUUUCACCGACAAGAAAGGUCCAUUAGCAUGUAUGCUGAAUAUAUGCCCAACCAAAAUAAAAAAUCACGAUCUGUAAUCAUAAGAUCUGAACUUGCCAGUACUGGGUCACCUGGAACAUCCUAUCAAUUAUCAGUGCUUUAAGUGAUCGGUGAUUCCCACCGAUCCAAGCUAAAGAAUUACCGUUCCUUGCAAUGUACAGUUUCCCUUCUUACUAAUUAUGAAAACGCUGCUAAUUAUCUCUAUUGGGAGGUUGGAAAGCACGGAAUUAUAAUCGAGUUCACCGAUCCCGACAAUAAUACAAAGCGAAAUGCUACGUACCUACCCGAAAUCGCUUCUCAAGAAGGAAUGUAUUUGGACAGCUGGCAGCAGGGAUGCCGUUGGUGGUAACAGUCACACUAGAGGAGCUUGAAGCUAUUGAACGACUUGAAGCAAUGGGAUUUGAUAUCUUUUAACAACUUAUUAGUGUUACAAAAGGGUACCUUCUUCAUGAAGAAUAUACAAACUUGCAAAGUUUAAGAAGAUAUAUAUAGCAUUUGAUUAUACCAUAUUGAGGCCACUUGUCUGCCUCUUAAACCUAUAAUUGCCACAUGGCAUUAUGUUCUUAAGAAAUUGAUUUAAGAGGUGUUACAUAUGUGUGAAUAGUUCCUUGAAGAUGUUGAGAUUGGUGGAGAACAAAAAGUAGGUCGUGGUACCAAAGUCAUCGAAGCAGCAAAGCAGUCGGAGAAGGUUUAGAAGGGGAGCCGAAUGUCUAACAAAAAGUUUGCAAAAUGUAUCUGAUGCGCUGCAAGAGAAGUCAACUCCGGAUAAGGAAUGUUCUGAGUUUAUGAAAUCUGAAUUGAAAGCAGAAGCAUUUUUGACAAGUUUACUGCGAGAGAAACUGUAUUCAAAAGAAGUGGAUGUAGAACGACUCGAGGCUGAGCUGGCAACAGCUGUCAGAGGAGAGGAAACGAUGUUUUGAGAUGUGAAGUGCAAAACGCAAUGGAUAGUCUUUCUUGUAUUACACACAAGAUGAAAGAACUUGAACUCCAAGUGAUCAAGAAAGAUGAAAGCAUUUAUCAUCUUCAAGUCAAUCUGCAAGAUUGCAAAAAAUAAUUAGCAGUCGUUAAUGGGAUCCUACCAAAACUGUAUCAUCGUUUUACAUCAUAUGUCCCCAAAUCAAUACCCCUUUUUUUCCAAACAUUUUGUUGUGUUAGAAUGUCUAGCAUGCUAUUAUUUAACUGUCCCAUGUGGCCGUUAAAAACUUAUCAUUUAAGGUUUGAAUUUUGUUCACGGCCCUGUAUUGUCGACCUCGCCGCAACGCG